AAUAAAUGUUUGUUGACUGACUAAAGAGAGGCUGCAGCAAAUUCAGAAGAAAUAGAAGAUCAAGGGUGCUGAGGAGGAGAAGGAGAAGGAUGAGUAGAGAAAAUUUCAGACCUCAACAUCCCCUACAUAAUUUUCAAAGGAUGAAUGGUUGGGGUGGCUUUUGUCAUAUUUGUAGUCAAGGGAUCUGGGUUUGAAUCCUGACUGCCAUUUUCUAAUUAAAUGAGUUUCCUAAGGCCCUUCUCAAAGCUCUGAGGUUCAGUAUUUUAAUAACCUCUCUGGACCUUACUUUCCUUUAUAAAUGAGGGGUUUAUGAUCUCUAAGAUCCCUUGUACUACGUGGUUCCAUCCUUGGAGGAGAACCAAGAACAACAGGCACGAUCCACCCAAUGAGUCCACAUGAGGAAGAGUGGGAUAAUGAGAGCCCUAGAAACCUUGGAGAACAGGUAAAAGAAAGUCAGAUGAAGACAUUGUCAAUGUGCAGCUUAAAAAAGAAAAAAUUAGGGGAAGGGAGGGAAGGAUCCUAAGCUCUGCCUUCAAGUAUCUGAAAAGAAGAAUGAGUCCACAUUAAUGUACCAUUGAUAGGAUUGUGACUUGGUUCAGUUUUUCUGGAAAACAAUUUGGAACUACACUAAAAAAGUGACUGAACUGUAUAUACCCACUUUCCAGCCCAGUGAUAGUAAAGUGGAACAGGAAUUUUAAUCAUCAUAUCCUGUCUCCAUUGUCAGACCUUUGUAAGCCUCUCUGAAUCCCUUGGAUUGUCUUAUUACCAUAUCUAAAAAGGAUAUUUUACUUCCUCUAGUCUCAUCUGGUCACUCAUUGUACUUGGUCAUGUAGAUGCACAUGUGAGUUUAUUUUCUAGUUUCCCUGACCCCUCCCUAAUUCCACAGAUCGCACCCUUACUUCAUUCCCUCUCUUCCUUUUGACUUUAAAAGGCCCUGCCACUGGAAGCAUUUUGCUUAAUCAUAUUUAAUUUAGUCUUGCUUAUUCAUUUUGAUUAAUAACUAUGAGUCAUUUCACAUCAAUAAAUGGCAUCCUUUGUGACUGUGACAAAUGUCUCAUGAAUUUUUCACAUUGUGAACAACUCUUCUACUUCCUGGUACCUGGGUACUUUACCCAAUAUUUUCAUGAAUUAUUGUUGUCAUUUUGUUAAUAACAUUUGUUAAAUGUUUAUAGUAGCAAUAUUUGUGGUGGAAAAAAACCCCAAUAACCUAGAAAUAGAGGGGGUUUCUAUCAGGGAAUAUCCUUAAAAAACUUUGGUAUAUUAAUGUGGUACAAUAGUAUCCUGCCAUAAGCAAUAUCACACAUGAGAAAUUUAGUACGAUUUGUAGAAACUGAUAAAAGAGCAGAACCAAGAAAACAAUAUAAAUGAUGAUAGUAAUGUAAAAAAAAAAAAAAAACCCUUAGAAAAAUACAAUGACCAUCUUUAAUUCCAGAAAAAUAAUGAUGGCACAUAUUUUCCUUCUCUUGGUAAAGACCAGGUACUAGACUGACAUCAUAAUAACAGUAAUAAUAAUAAUAAUAGCAUUUCUAUAGAGAUUUAAGGUUUAAAAGUACUUUACAAAUAUUAACUCAUUUUAUCCUCACAGCUUCUCUGGAGAGAUAGUUGCCAUUAUAAUCUCCAUUUUACAGAUGAGGAGCCUGUGGUUAAAUGAUUUGCCUAAAGUCUGAGAUCAGAUUUGAAUUUAGAUCUUCCUGACUUGAAGUCCAGUGUUCCAUUCAUCGUGACACAAAGCUGCUCUGAAGAAGGAAGACCCUGUCAAUCAUGCUUUGGGGCCUCCCCUUUUCCAGGAGCUCAUCACAUUGGUGCCAGUGAACACAUAAUCAGCUUUAGCCUUAUUGCAGCUCAGAACUCGAAGCCCCCAGGCUCAGACCAAUAACAGAUAUUAUAGACAAGAAGACCAAGGUCCCAAGGGCAGACCCACACGGUUCCACAGAGAGUAGCCCCAAAGCCUGGAUUCACUCCCAGUCUUCUGCCCAUCAGCACAUUCUCCAUGCUGCAUCUGCUGUGGUCCAGGCCCAGCGUUUUGUCGGCUGCACAAUCAUACCCAAGAGAAGUGACUGAGUACUGAAAAAAAAAUUAUACAAGAUUUAUAGUAGCCUAUUGCUCACUCUCUCUCAUCACUGAUCCCUGAAGCAUGAAGCAAUCACUACUCUGUUUUAUCUGGAAAAGGGAGAAGAAAGAAUGUCAUGUCCUCAGGGCAAUGUUUGUUAUAGGUAAGCAGCUCUUUGGUUCAAAGAUCUUGUUUUGGAAGAGAAUAUUUCUAGGCAUCCCAACUUCAAGGGAGUGGCCUGGAGUCCAGAGGCUCACAGAAUAUUGGAGCUGGAAGGGACUUUUGGAACCACUCAGCCUCCACCUUUUCAUUUUAGAGGAGAGGAAAGUGGGUAUCAAGAAGGAUAGAAGUCACUCAAGUGGUGAGGAGCAGAGACAAGAUUUGAGUUUGACCUUCCUGCUUGAGAAAGGAAGGAGUUCCUUAAAGACAUAAGAGAACCUCUAGUGAUGUUUCUGCCCAAAAUUUGGAUGUAAAGCAGAGAUUUGAAUAAAUGAUUUAAGAAAAUUUUAGGCCAUGUAAACCAAAAGAAUAAAAACACUAUAUAAUAAUAGUGUCCAAACUCAGCCCUGAAGAAGAGCUCUCAGGAAAGACCCAGCACUAUGGGUAUGAAAUUUUGAAUAUGCUGUCAAACAGAAGUAACAUGUUAGUUGAUUUUGCUUCCCCCACCUUUCUCCCAGUUUGGUCUCUACUACGCCCUGUUAAAAAGUGCAAAAGCACAAAGGAAGGAUCACACUGACUCAGACUGAUACAGCUACUACAAACAGGAUUUUAGGCUGGACAUAGUAUCCAGUAGAAGGGAAAUGAUAAUCUCUGUAUCCUUCAUCCUGGUCACACUGUGUCUGGUGUAUCCUGUUUGUGUUUGGGUACCACAGGAAGGAAAUUGCCAAACCAGAGUGUGUUAAACUGAGGGCAGCUAAAAUGAGAAGGGGGCUAGAGGUUUCUGCAUUAAGAAGGAACUAGGUUGUUUAACCUAGAGAAAAACUCAAAAGUUCAGGGUAGGAACCCUGCCUUCAAAUCCCUGAGGAGAAGAGCUGAUGCAAGAAAUUAGAUUGAUUCUGUUUCUCCCAAGAAGCAGAACUGGGCAAAGUAAAGGGGGUGUAGGAGGAGACGGAGCCCACAUGUCAGCAACAUUAAUUUUGUAUAGAGGAAGGCUGGCUCUUUGUAAUUUCCUGCAGGGCUUGGAUUUUACUCAUCAACUCCUCCUUUUUUGGGGGGGACCUUGCUCAUUCCUCUUGCUGAACUUACUGACAUCUGCUGGUGGGUAAGACCUGGCCUAGAAAAGAAGGAGCGGUUCAGAUUGCCCACCCUUUCUGACAUCUCUCAAGAGCCUGCAACUGAAGAACCAGAUCUAGGCCCUGCCCUCCUGGAGCUCAGGCUAGGGCAGAGAGAUAAGUCACUGGUGUUGAGCAGAGAAGAAUGCCAGAAGUGAAUGAUAAGGUCUCCAACUGAACAUAAUAUGGCCUGAGAAUACAAGUUCCCUCUCCUUCCUAGAGCCUCACUUUUGUAAUAUUGAGAGAGUUGAACUAAAUGACUUCUACAGUCUCUUCAAGCUGCAAAGUUAAUAGGAGUUUGGGAGGAUCUCCCAUUUCUGUCAUUCUCAAAAAUUUUUUUCCUGACUGAAUGUGGAUCAUAGAAAAUGUGAAUCACAUUUCCACCUUUUUUCCUGUCAUUUACUUGCUCCCCCUCCCCCCCUUUUUGAUCUGAUUUUUCUUGUGCAGCAUGAUAAAAGUAGAAAUAUGUUUAGAAGAUAUGCACAUGUUUAAUCUAUAUUGAUUGAUUGUUGUCUAAGGAAGGGGCUGAAUAUUGAAAAUUAUCUAGUAUUUUGAAAAUAGAAAGCUAUUAUUUAAAACAAACAAACAAACAAUUUUCCCUGCCCUAUUGGCUUUCCUGUUACUCUACCCUAAGCGUCAGAAAGGUUAAGUGAGUUGCUAGAGAUCAUCCAGGGAGGAAGCAGCCAGUCAGCACUCAAACCCAGACCCUCAUAUUCCAGUUUUGGUGUACUUUCUGCUGUGCUGCACUGUCUCCUUAGAUAACUCCCUUGGACUUCUAUAACCUCAGAGGUCCCUUUCAUUUCCAAGUGUGUGACU